ensembl:lncRNA
CCUGCCUGGUUCUGCCCCUCAGCUGCCCCUCUUGGUGUGACACUGACCUUUUUUCCAGGAGUUGUAGGGGACACAGGAUCCUCACUGCUCCAGGGGACAUCUGAGCUCCUCCUGCUCCUGAGAGGAACCUGGCAGAGAUUAACACCAGGGAGAGGUCCCAGCUCCGGGGGUGUCGGAAUCUGAGCUGGGAUGUGCCUGAGCUCUACGGCCUCCACGAGGUGCUGGAGUGGGAUCUGCGAAGGGAUGGAGCUGUGGAACAAAGCUGAUUCUUUACGGAGGCUCAGGGAUGCGGGCAGCCGAGGCGUGGCUAACGCAAUUGCACAUCCCCUCCUCGCCCGCAGCGGCCGCCGAAGCGGCGCUAAUGCCGGGCGAUACCUGCGGGGAGAGCAGCGCAGCAGCUGCCGGGACAGCGAGCGGCCAGCGCGGGUCCUGUGCUCCGUGAGCCCGGUGCUGCUCCCUCAGAACCCCUCGGUGGCACCGGGGCUGUGCUGCUGCUGGAGCGCCCUGGAUUGAUCCAGGAAUGUCCUGCUGCUGGCUGGGACGGUGUUUCCCUGCCAGCACCGCCACAGCACCUUUAAUUCCACCUUGAAGCUCUUCACCAGCACAUUGCAGCGCUUUCAUAAUUGGCUUCUAAUUCCACCUCCUUCCUAGGUCUGGGAUCUUCCCGGGAAUAAUCAGGAUGACUCCAGGGGUAUUCCAGCACGUGGCUGCUCCCACUUAUGGGUUUGUGUGUUUGUGUCAGUGAGGGAAACAAUAGAAAAGUAAAAUAUUUGUACACCUAAAGACAGCUUUCCCAAGGGCACUGCCAUAUCACACUGCAGGAGGUGAAUUUGGAAAGUGCAGGAGAUGUUUGGGAGCCUCAAAAAUAGUCAGUCAUCCAAAUUAAAAUAUGGAUUUAUCAGGUAUGGCACAAGUUAUGCAGAAUAGAAUUGUUUCUAUUUAUGAUAACAGUAUUAGGUAUUUGUUUUCCCACCGGGGAGUGGUGGAUAUGGAUCCCAGUGCAGUUUGGGAUCUGAUCAGUUCAGCUCCAGCCGAUUCCGAGGGAAGGAUUUCCCUGCUCGCGGCCCCCUGGAGCAGAUCCCGGGCAGGACUCCUCCGUUUGUGCUCAGCCCCGACAUUCCCGCUCCGGUAAUGAUUCCUAUUCAAGCAGCCGCAGCGCUGCCAGGAUAAAGGAGGCAUUUACAGAUGGAAAACUAAUUGGUGUAGGAAUCAAAUUUGAAAAAUGCAGCAUCUUCCUGGAGCAGUGGGAGCGCCUGUAAUGAGCUGCCUGCAAAGGAGGCGGCUGUGCCAUAUUUCUCGGGAUGAGGCUGCUGAGCUGGGAACUGCUUCCCACCAAGCCAUUGGCUCCUCGGAGCUGCUGCCGUGGGGACAUCUCACUCCAUUUCUGAUGAGGCUCCUUCGCUGGGGCAAACAUCUUUGUCUCAUUAUAGCUGCAGAAUUCUGCCAUGUGCUGCGGCGGCGGGGGCUGCCAGGAUGGAUACCCAGGAUAGCUGGAUGUGCCAGCUGCCGUGCCAGCCGUGUGCCCAGGGAAUGACCGCACUGGGAUGCUGCCCACGGUGUUUUAUCUUUCAGUACUGAAAGGGAAAGCACGACUGCUGUACCCCACUCAGUCCCAUUACUGUGACAACAUCCCGUGCCGUGCCGUGCCGUU